GUAAUACAGUUGUCUGUCUGCUUGUUCAUGUUGUCAGAGGUGAAAGACCUCCUGUUCCAUUUUAGAAACUCUAUUCAAAAAGAAAAUAUGUCUAGAAGAUAUUGUUUAUAGUUACUCCACAAAUAUUAAGGAGUUCUUGAAAACCAGUGUCAUCUGCCUCUGAAAAUAAAGAUCAAUAGAUGAAAUUUUGAAUGUAUACUUGGAAAGCUUGAAAUGGCUCUGGGCUAGCGAUAUUGAACAUUUCUUCAUGUGUCUCUGGAUCUUCCGUAUGUCUUCCUUGGUUGUAGAUACCUGAAUUUCUUUGUAAGCCAAGUGUUGAACACAGUGAAGCUGCUAUGAACAUGGACCCUGAGUGCUUAUGUAGAGGGCAGCUGUUUUCUGAACCUGAACAUCCAUGGUAGGCUUAUCAGUUUUAUCAUCCCUGGGAGCUGUGAAGUAUGUCGGAGGACAGAAGGAAGAUGGAGAGCAAAAAAGUUUGAAAUUGUGAAGAGGUGAUACUGAGGACUGCAACCAAAGACCCUGCAUAGCAUUUCAUCUUAGCUAUGGAUAAUGAUUCAGAAAAGUUAUAAUGGCAGUAUUAAUGAUUUAUAACCAUAAGCAUGGAAGAUAUCCUGAGGAAUAUGAGGAGUCUGAAGUUGAGAGGAAAAUGAAAAGCAGCAUUCAGCUGACUUUAAACAAAUAUACCGAAGAAUGUUACACUCACUUUAUCCCCUCACAUGAGAAGUCUCAUUGAUUAGUGAUUUAUUUUUUGAACUAUGUGAGCAAAUAUUUGGCCAUCCAUCUGUCAGAAAUAUUAUAGAGGACACCACAAUGGACCAGCAGAGUUUUCAUAUGUUUGACAGCAGCCUAUGACAACAAAUUGAGACAGCACAACAAAACUGAUCCUAUCGACAGGAUAACAUGAGUCAAAGAUAUACAGAUAUUGAGAAAUUCAGAAACUGGGGCAUAGAAAAAAUAAACACCAGAAUUUCCUAGAAAUGUCAGGAUUCUGUGUAUAAUUGUUAAAAAUACAUAUAUUAGUAUAUAAAGUUAACUAAUUAUUUUAUAGAUUUGGCUAUACCCAGAACUUUUAAUGCCAUUUUGUAAAUAAUUUGUUAUUUCUGUUUUUUUUCCUCUGAAUAAGGGCAUUUAAAAAAUUGACAAUGAUUUUCCCUUUUCAAAAAUUUCUGUAAAGAAAUUUCAGGGAAAUGGGGACUUUUUUAGAAAUGCAUAUGAAUAAAAUGACUUAAGUGUAUAUACAAAAAUCCAAAGUAACUUAAAGACAUUAAAAAACCCAUGAAAUUGUCCAGAAUUGUAUUUAGGGCAAAAAUUAUAGAUUAUAUAUAUAUAUUCAUUCAAAAUUUCCAAAAUUACACAUCUUUGUGUUAUUUAGAAUAUUCUAUAAUUUAAAUAAAUGUCUUUGUCAAAUUUCCCUAACUUUGAAAAAAAUCUAACACAUAAUAGCUUAGUAAUAGAAGAAAUUGCUAGGAACAAAUAUCACAUGAACAAAGAUGUAAAACUUUAGAACAAAAUAUUAAUCAAUCAAAUCUAAGCAUUUAUGAAAAUCCUAAGUUAAAAAACAGAAAGGAGAGUUGACACAUGGAUUUGAUUAUCAUUUGUAGUCUCUCUUCACAAGGUCCCCACUCUGAUAUAAAGAAAGAAUAAUGAGAGAAAGAAGGGACUACUACCCUCUGCAACAACAUGGAUGGAACUGGAAAGCAUUAUGCUGAGUGAAAUAAGCCAGGCAUUGAAAGACAAAUACCAUAUGAUCUCACCUUUAACAGGAAGCUAAACAACAAAACAGACAGGCAAGCAAAAUAAAAAUAAAUACACUGAAAUAGAGAACAAGGGGACAAUGACCAGAGGGGA